rnacentral:rRNA from 7 species
CACCCGCUGAGUUUAAGCAUAUCACUAAG